AUUGAACGCUGGCGGAAUGCUUUACACAUGCAAGUCGAACGGCAGCACGGGGGCAACCCUGGUGGCGAGUGGCGAACGGGUGAGUAAUACAUCGGAACGUGCCCAGUCGUGGGGGAUAACGUAGCGAAAGCUACGCUAAUACCGCAUACGAUCUCUGGAUGAAAGCGGGGGACCGCAAGGCCUCGCGCGAUUGGAGCGGCCGAUGGCAGAUUAGGUAGUUGGUGGGGUAAAGGCUCACCAAGCCGACGAUCUGUGGCUGGUCUGAGAGGACGACCAGCCACACUGGGACUGAGACACGGCCCAGACUCCUACGGGAGGCAGCAGUGGGGAAUUUUGGACAAUGGGCGAAAGCCUGAUCCAGCCAUUCCGCGUGCAGGAUGAAGGCCCUCGGGUUGUAAACUGCUUUUGUACGGACGAAACGGUCCUGGUUAAUACCUGGGGCUAAUGACGGUACCGUAAGAUAAGCACCGGCUAACUACGUGCCAGCAGCCGCGGUAACUAGUCUACG
rnacentral:rRNA from 1 species